GGGCCUUAUCUUAGAGCCCGCCAGGAGUUUCCCAGUGUUGCAAAGCAUCUUUAGUUUGAUAAUUGAAGGUCUUGGAUCAUUUUAAUGAGAUAGCAACAUGAUAACCGUUGGUUUGGGGAGCUGUCACAAUGCCAGACUGAAGACUAUGUGCCUUAUUGAAGGAGAAUGUAGCUUUUAUUGUGUUUCUUUAAAAUAUAAGUAAAUAAGUAAAGCAUUUCUAUAUCUCAAAACCAGAUCAGAGCUGUUAUGAAGCUCAUUGAUAAAGUUGUCUGAGAUGAGAUGCAAGACAUACCUGAGGAGAGGAGAAAACCAAAACCCUAUGAAUUUUUACCAACCAACCCAAGAAGUCAGAGCCCUGAAGAGGAAACAUCUCAGGAAUCACAUGAAACAUAGCUGGUAAAGAGCUACUGGACUACAGAAGGAGGAGUUGGGAUAAGCCAUGGUCUAAGGCUCUCCUGCCUUUUGUCUGUGCCUCCACAUUGGAAAUUCUUUCAAGCAUUUCUAUAUCCAUGAAGGCACUCCUGAUCCAUGAAGUCACUGCUGAUGGGUUUCAGAAGGACACAUUCCAAGACCUCCUAGAUACCUAUGAGACAGUUUUAUGCUGUGGACUGCUCUUUAAUCCACAUGGAGAAACCCUGCUGAGGUCCUCAUGACAUUGUCUAUAAAAAGGAGACUCUAAUGAAUGCCAUGCAGAGUUUAAUAAGUCAAACCAGUAAUAAAGAAGCAUGAAUAUACUGAUAUUUUAUUUUUAAAAGGGAUGAAUGCUACAGGUGAUGUAUUCAUUGAGUCUGAUUUCCAAACUUCCAUACUAAUUCUGGAAAGAGUUUUUCCAUCUCCUACACAUCUCCUGCAUGUGCUGUGCCUGAUUAGAAUCAUCUGAACUGGAAAAAGGAUGUCUGUUAAAUUAAAAGACAUUUGAGGAGAAAGAAUAUCAUUCCUUUUGUCUGCCAGGAGAUGUCAGUGUUUACUUCUGCCCAGUGAAAGUAAUGCUAAGGUUACAAAAAGGUUGCCAAAUUUUUCAUUAAUGAGGGAAGAUAUCUAUUGCAUUAUUAAAUAAAUAAAAACGUUGGAUUGCACUGUAAGAAAA